CACCCUGCCUUGUUCUAUUACCAAUUGUUCCCUUUGCUCAGGUGUCCUUCUCCAAGCAUGCUUCUGCCAGAGGAACCACAGGCCACAGAAGUGUACACUUCACCGGUACAGUCACACACAAAGAAGAGAAACUCUGCCAUGACCAGAUGCAGUCAAUCAAGAUGCUGAGCAGUUUUCAUUACUCAAUAGUUCCCAAGCGAGAAUUUGCAGGUCGCUGAAGUGUCACAGUCUACUGAAACGGUCUGGAAUCAAUAAGUGGAGGUGACGGCCCCCUAAGAAAAUCAGAAGAGACAUGAGCACAUUGAAGAUCUAAAGGAGAACAAAGUGUUUUCAGUUACACACCAGCAGGACUUCCCUCUUUGCACACCCCUGGAGUCUCUUCCAAGUGGAAAAUCACACUCUGUCCUUCGCUGGAGAGCAAAAAGGGAAGGCCAGUAAAACAAGGCCCCUCCUGGACUUGGCCAGCCCCUGCCCCCAUCCCCUGCUGCCCCAACUAAGAUCCUGGGCCAACGAGAUAAAUGGAAGGUUCAGCUCUUGCAGCUGACACGGGUGGGGGGCAGAAGCCCACUCUGGGCACUUCCAGCCGACACUGACCUUUCAGUCAUGGAAACAUUCCCCAGACCGACGCUAAUCGGGGGCACAUCUGGCGUUUGGACUGCAUCCAGAUGGGGGUUGUGUUAGUCGAGUCAGCACGAUAACCCACUGGGGAGGCAGGAGAGGGGAGAGUGCAAGGCUGCUGAGAGCAAUCAACAUCUUUGGCUGGGACAAGAGACGGCAAUUGGGAACAAGACCUCAUGGUAUUGAAGGUCCAGCCACACAGUUAGGACUGACGAAGGAUCUUGGCCAGCUCUCAGUGUCUGCCUUUACAAAGCCUGACACCUGUUGCAGCCAUGAAGAGUACUGCUAAGGAGGUAAUUAAGCAAACGAAAGCCGGGAUAAAAGGGAUUAUGUCCCCACCUACCCACACAGAAGGUCGUCUCCAGCUGUCUGAAGGAAGUUCUUUCCACGCCCUGGAGUGUACUCCCCACUCGUAGGCACUGCGUUUCAUCUACCCAGUGAUCCUUUCCUCUAUAAACCUCCAGGCACAGAUAAUUAUGGAAAUCAGGAAUCUCAUCCACCUGCUCAAAUCACAAAGCAAUUAGCAAGAUCUUCUAAUAUAAAAACUGCAGAGAUCUAUUCAUCCUUCUUCCUUUGUUGGUUACAAAUGUGAAAAGAAACAGGGAAAUAACCAAGGUAAAAACAAGACCCUAUCAAUGGUCAGUUUCCCAAAGUAAGUUCCAGUUCCUCCAGUACCUAACCACUGUGCAGAACUCUCAAGCACUGUACUUUUCCUUCUACAUCCAGCCUCUAUGCAAAGGGCAACUGUCAUCCACCAUCUAGUCAAUUUUGUCCUCUUCUGGAACAAUCAGAAAGGAAAACUACCUUCACUCCAAAUCAAGAUAUUUCACUCCUACCCACCUGAAGAUCACCCCCACCCCUAACCCCUCAUUUCCAUUGUCCUAUCUGAGAAAUAGCCUUUAUCCACCCCUGAUGGGCAAGACGGUUGUCACUGAGCCAGAAGAAUGAUUCUCCUCCUCCCUUUAGGGGACAGCUUAUCAGUUUCGCCCUCCUCGGAAGGAUUGUGUGACACUUCACAAGCUCUCCAGGUCUCUGAGCAGGAGCUCACAGACACCAUCACUCUAUCUAGAGCAAGUCAGGGUCUCUGCUGGUGCCAAUCCUUUUUCCCCCUCGAUGAUUUGGUACAAAGCCAUUGCAUGUUCCAUGCCAAACCAGUAAUUCACAACACUCAUCAAAAUCUGUCUCCAUCACCUGACUCAGCAUUCCUGCUUUCUGAGUAUAGCCAGCCUCCCUAACACCCUGACAUCCUAGCCUCAGCUUCACUAUUUACAUCACAUGAGACCUUUGGGCU
rnacentral:lncRNA from 1 species